GACCCUUCGGGGAACGACAACGGCGUCGAGCGGCGGACGGGUGAGUAAUGCCUGGGAAAUUGCCCUGAUGUGGGGGAUAACCAUUGGAAACGAUGGCUAAUACCGCAUAAUAGCUUCGGCUCAAAGAGGGGGACCUUCGGGCCUCUCGCGUCAGGAUAUGCCCAGGUGGGAUUAGCUAGUUGGUGAGGUAAAGGCUCACCAAGGCGACGAUCCCUAGCUGGUCUGAGAGGAUGAUCAGCCACACUGGAACUGAGACACGGUCCAGACUCCUACGGGAGGCAGCAGUGGGGAAUAUUGCACAAUGGGCGCAAGCCUGAUGCAGCCAUGCCGCGUGUGUGAAGAAGGCCUUCGGGUUGUAAAGCACUUUCAGCAGUGAGGAAGGGUGUGUAUUUAAUAGAUGCGCAUUUUGACGUUAGCUGCAGAAGAAGCACCGGCUAACUCCGUGCCAGCAGCCGCGGUAAUACGGAGGGUGCGAGCGUUAAUCGGAAUUACUGGGCGUAAAGCGCAUGCAGGUGGUUUGUUAAGUCAGAUGUGAAAGCCCGGGGCUCAACCUCGGAACUGCAUUUGAAACUGGCAGGCUAGAGUACUGUAGAGGGGGGUAGAAUUUCAGGUGUAGCGGUGAAAUGCGUAGAGAUCUGAAGGAAUACCGGU
rnacentral:rRNA from 1 species